CCCGAAGCCUGUAACCGCCUUCAGGCGUGAUGGGCGGUUGGGAUCCUCCUUUUGAGGGGUGUAUGGCGUAGCGUGGGUCGGCCCUUCGGGGUCGCGCAUUCCCAGUGCUACGGCGGACCAUCCCUUGGGCAACUCAGUGGGGGCAAUUGGAUCGUCUGGGGCACUUCUGGCGGCUUUGGCCCUGAAGGUGGCCCAGGCGGGGUGUACAGCUUCGGCUUGCAUCCUCACCAUCUACUUCGCUCUGGCCCUCUGAGGGUCGCCGGGGUGCGUCUUUUGAGGCGAAGGGUCCCCGGCGUCGAACGAUAGUUACCUGGUUGAUUCUGCCAGUAGUCAUAUGCUUGUCUCAA
rnacentral:misc_RNA from 1 species